UUCGCAAUGCCCGAAAGGGUGACGAAGCGACGCCGCGUGGGUGAAGAAGGCCUUCGGGUUGUAAAGCCCUGUCAGGAGUUAUGAAAUGUAGGUGCGAUAAUACCGUGCCUAUUUGACAAAGGCUCCAAAGGAAGCCACGGCUAACUCUGUGCCAGCAGCCGCGGUAAUACAGAGGUGGCAAGCGUUGUUCGGGAUUAUUGGGCGUAAAGAGCACGUAGGUGGGUUUGUAAGUCAGAUGUGAAAGCCUUCUGUUCAACGGAAGAAUUGCAUCUGAAACUGCGAGUCUUGAGUGUAGGAGGGGAGAAUGGAACUUCUGGCGGAGCGGUGAAAUGCGUAGAUAUCAGAAGGAACGCCGGCGGCGAAAGCGAUUCUCUGGCCUAUUACUGACACUGAGUGUGCGAAAGCUAGGGGAGCAAACGGGAUUAGAUACCCCGGUAGUCCUAGCCGUAAACGAUGGGCACUAAGUAGAGGGGUUUU
rnacentral:rRNA from 1 species